rnacentral:tRNA from 1 species
UAGAUAGAAGCUAAUUUGAGCGCCUAGCUGUUAAUUAGGAAAUAGUAGAGGAGUAGUAGUUCUACCUAUCUAG